GAUGAACGCUGGCGGCGUGCUUAACACAUGCAAGUCGAGCGGGCAAUUUAUCUAGCACUGAUUACUUCAAAUGGAAAUCAUAAGUGUAAUCAUGAAUUUCUACCUUUAAUAAGGGAAAAAAGAAAUUCAUGUACGCAAAUAGUGAUAACACAUGAAAGUGGAGUGAUGAGUGCUGGAUAAAUUGCUAGCGGCGGACGGGUGCGUAACACGUGGGUAACCUGCCCCUAUCACUGGGAUAACACACUGAAAAGUGUGCUAAUACCAGAUAAUAUAAGCUUUUGGCAUCAUUAGCUUAUCAAAGAAUUUCGGAUAGGGAUGGGCCCGCGUCUGAUUAGCUAGUUGGUGAGGUAACGGCUCACCAAGGCAACGAUCAGUAGCCGACCUGAGAGGGUGAUCGGCCACACUGGAACUGAGACACGGACCAGACUCCUACGGGAGGCAGCAGUGAGGAAUAUUGGUCAAUGGACGCAAGU
rnacentral:rRNA from 1 species